rnacentral:rRNA from 1 species
UCGGGAAUAUUGGACAAUGGGCGCAAGCCUGAUCCAGCCAUGCCGGGUGAGUGACGAAGGUCUUCGGAUUGUAAAGCUCUUUUAGCAGGGAAGAUAAUGACGGUACCUGCAGAAUAAGCCCCGGCUAACUUCGUGCCAGCAGCCGCGGUAAUACGAAGGGGGCUAGCGUUGUUCGGAAUUACUGGGCGUAAAGCGCACGUAGGCGGAUUGAUAAGUUAGAGGUGAAAUCCCGGGGCUCAACCUCGGAACUGCCUUUGAUACUGUUAGUCUCGAGUCCGAUAGAGGUGAGUGGAAUUCCUAGUGUAGAGGUGAAAUUCGUAGAUAUUAGGAAGAACACCAGUGGCGAAGGCGGCUCACUGGAUCGGUACUGACGCUGAGGUGCGAAAGCGUGGGGAGCAAACAGGAUUAGAUACCCCCGUAGUCCCUGAGCGGGCUGGCAAGGCGCAU